GACGAACGCUGGCGGCGUGCUUAACACAUGCAAGUCGAACGGAAAGGCCCUGCUUUUGUGGGGUGCUCGAGUGGCGAACGGAUGAGUAACACGUGAGUAACCUGCCCUUGACUUUGGGAUAACUUCAGGAAACUGGGGCUAAUACCGGAUAGGAGCUCCUGCUGCAUGGUGGGGGUUGGAAAGUUUCGGCGGUUGGGGAUGGACUCGCGGCUUAUCAGCUUGUUGGUGGGGUAGUGGCUUACCAAGGCUUUGACGGGUAGCCGGCCUGAGAGGGUGACCGGCCACAUUGGGACUGAGAUACGGCCCAGACUCCUACGGGAGGCAGCAGUGGGGAAUAUUGCACAAUGGGCGGAAGCCUGAUGCAGCAACGCCGCGUGCGGGAUGACGGCCUUCGGGUUGUAAACCGCUUUCGCCUGUGACGAAGCGUGAGUGACGGUAAUGGGUAAAGAAGCACCGGCUAACUACGUGCCAGCAGCCGCGGUGAUACGUAGGGUGCGAGCGUUGUCCGGAUUUAUUGGGCGUAAAGGGCUCGUAGGUGGUUGAUCGCGUCGGAAGUGUAAUCUUGGGGCUUAACCCUGAGCGUGCUUUCGAUACGGGUUGACUUGAGGAAGGUAGGGGAGAAUGGAAUUCCUGGUGGAGCGGUGGAAUGCGCAGAUAUCAGGAGGAACACCAGUGGCGAAGGCGGUUCUCUGGGCCUUUCCUGACGCUGAGGAGCGAAAGCGUGGGGAGCGAACAGGCUUAGAUACCCUGGUAGUCCACGCUGUAAACGGUGGGUACUAGGUGUGGGGUCCAUUCCACGGGUUCCGUGCCGUAGCUAACGCUUUAAGUACCCCGCCUGGGGAGUACGGCCGCAAGGCUAAAACUCAAAGGAAUUGACGGGGCCCCGCACAAGCGGCGGAGCAUGCGGAUUAAUUCGAUGCAACGCGUAGAACCUUACCUGGGUUUGACAUGGAUCGGGAGUGCUCAGAGAUGGGUGUGCCUCUUUUGGGGUCGGUUCACAGGUGGUGCAUGGCUGUCGUCAGCUCGUGUCGUGAGAUGUUGGGUUAAGUCCCGCAACGAGCGCAACCCUUGUUCACUGUUGCCAGCACGUUAUGGUGGGGACUCAGUGGAGACCGCCGGGGUCAACUCGGAGGAAGGUGGGGAUGACGUCAAGUCAUCAUGCCCCUUAUGUCCAGGGCUUCACGCAUGCUACAAUGGCUGGUACAGAGAGUGGCGAGCCUGUGAGGGUGAGCGAAUCUCGGAAAGCCGGUCUCAGUUCGGAUUGGGGUCUGCAACUCGACCUCAUGAAGUCGGAGUCGCUAGUAAUCGCAGAUCAGCAACGCUGCGGUGAAUACGUUCCCGGGGCU
rnacentral:rRNA from 1 species